rnacentral:rRNA from 1 species
AUUGAACGCUGGCGGCAUGCCUUACACAUGCAAGUCGAACGGUAACAGGUUAAGCUGACGAGUGGCGAACGGGUGAGUAAUGUAUCGGAACGUGCCCAGUCGUGGGGGAUAACUACUCGAAAGAGUGUCUAAUACCGCAUACGACCUGAGGUGGAAAGCGGGCGACCGUAAGGCCCCGCGGGAUUGCAGCGGCCGAUAUCGGAUUAGCUAGUUGGUGGGGUAAAAGCCCACCAAGGUGACGAUCUGUAGCUGGUCUGAGAGGACGACCAGCCACACUGGGACUGAGACACGGCCCAGACUCCUACGGGAGGCAGCAGUGGGGAAUUUUGGACAAUGGACGCAAGUCUGAUCCAGCCAUGCCGCGUGCGGGAAGAAGGCCUUCGGGUUGUAAACCGCUUUUGUCAGGGAAGAAACGAGUUUCUCUAAUACAGAGACUUAAUGACGGUACCUGAAGAAUAAGCACCGGCUAACUACGUGCCAGCAGCCGCGGUAAGAC